CAGGUGAGGAGAGUUCUUCGCCUCGCGCCAGGAUUCUGAGGCCUCCCCAGCCAUGUGGAACUGGCAAGGAUUGUGAUGACGUUUUUGCUAUUCCAGUGCAGAAAGCAUUUCAUGUAAAACCUGGGGUUGAUGACAUGAGCAAUAUCCGGAGAGAGAGAGAGAGAUUCCUGUAGAAUACAAGACAAGACUAUCACAAUGAGCUGAAAUGUUGGGUCUGUGAAAGUAAUGAGAAGCACAGUGGAAAUAAGUUUCUGAAGGAUGGAAGAGGCUGGAGGCUGGCUAGUGGGAGAAGGUUCCCAGACACGUGAGAGACCCAGCAACAGAGUGCCACAUCAUUGUUAUUCCCCCAAGAUCCUGGAUUCCAGACAGCCCAGUGGAGCACCAUAGAAAGAACUUUCAGGAAGCAGAGAAUGGUUCAGGGAUUCUGAUUUUCCUGAACUUCCUCCUCCCUAUCCACCUCCAAUUAGGAAAAAAGAAGAAAAAAAAGAUUAAACACGUCCAGAAUGUUAAAAAUCCAGUAGGGAUUUUAAAUGUUCACUAUUACAGCACAUACAUUUAUACACAAGGAGGUCUGAAGGCUUUCUGGUUUCAAUUAAGAUUAUUAUCUCCUUUGAGUGAUGGUUUCUCCUUUUUUCCCCCAGAAUUCCCUUUGGCUGAUCUAUUUUAAAAGAGUAUGAGCUAGGGAUAACUAGGCUUAUUUGUAUUGAGUCUACUUUCCCCUCCAGGUCUCUUUGUCUUAAAUUCUGAAGUCCCUUUUCCUAUCCUGCUAAAGGUUAGCAGCUUGAAAUCAAGGACAUGAGUCAUUGUUACUUUUCAUGUGGAAGAUAAGCUCUGUGGCUUUUAUAGCAAAAAGUAUAUACAAUUCUAAAAUUAAAGUGCAAGUCAGAAAGGCCAUUGGGGCUGUGAAAAGUCCUUAUCUAAAUCAGAAGACCAAGGUCAAGUUUGUAUCAUGCCUAUUAGUACAUGGGUUUCAUUGGUUAAGUUACCAAACCUCUGAGCCUCAGUUUCCUUAUCAGUCAAAUGAGUGCAAUAAUUCCCGCCCUAUCAUCUGACAAAUUAUUGAGAAAUUCUAAUUACAUGCCUAUAAUUUUCAGGUCUUUGUUUUUCAGGUCUUUGUUAAGCAUCAUGCACAUAAACGUUUGUAUUACACUUUCUUUAGCAGUAUUUGAACAUGGUACCUUAUUCAAUGUUCUGAAACAAAUCAUGAAUACUUCCUGGUGUGGUGAUAAUAUCUUCAUAAACUUGUGACACCCGAUGGAAUGUGAGUCGGUUUUGUAAUAGCCUUUAAAAACUUCCCUCAAUACAUAAUAAAGAAUGGUAAAAAAUUUUGGUUGAGGAAACUAAUGAUACAUCCAAAAUAACACAUUCAGUUUUCCAGUGAAGAAUAUUCUCAAAGUAAAAUGCUGUUUAGACUUACUUAAAGGUUCUUAAAACAAGUUAUACAAAGGGAUAGUAUUGAAAUCCAUCUUUUAAUAGAUAUAUACUAGUAAUUAUGUUGAAGACCCAGGAAAAUACUAUUAAUAGGUGUGAAAUUUAAAUCACACUAAUUAGUACUUUAAAAUAUUAUUCCUUCACGUUAUUUUAAAGAAGCUUUUCCUACAUGUGUGACCUAUUCUGUCAAACACAGCCAUGAAUAUCUAGUAUACUAAAUUGGUCCUAUUCUGACUCCAAUUUUCAAACACUUUUAACAUAGGACUAUAGAGUUCAUAUUUACAAAGUGUGUGCAUGCCUAUGUGUAUCACUAAUAUGUAGUAUAUGCAUACUAAAUAUGCACAUGGGUAUUUCAAACUCUGUUGGCUUGACUCUAAAUGUUCAGCUAUCGAUGUUAUUCUUGGUAUUUAGAGGUUUUAUUUAUAUAUUUAUCUUUCUUGACUUUCCCACUGGGAGGUGUCUUCUGAUAUUUCAGCCUCUAGCAUCUCAGUCCCAUACAUUCAGCCCUCACUGGGAAGUUUAAUUCCAGGUUACUAAUUUCAGAGCAUCCCAAAGAUGCUGUUUAGCUAGGUAGUGCCUUAAUAUAUCUUAGAAUUAAAAGAAAAUACUUUCUGUCUCUCAGGGCAUUUGAAAGCUCAAACUCUCCUCUUUGAACUUCCCUCUCUCAUUAUAUUGCCAUCACAAAUCUUUGUCCAUCACUAGGUGGUACAACUCCCCCUCCCCUCACCUGCCUCACACACAUAUGACCUACAGUGGAAAACUGAGCUCCAGAUGGUUCAUGGACUUGCCCAAAGUCACCUGUACCAUUGCUGACUUGGAACUUGAAUGUCCAAGCCUUCUAAAUCCUCAUCUGCAUUUUUCACAUUAGAGAAUUUUGAUCUCUGACUUCCAACAGUUAUUUCAGGAGAGGAAAAUGCAUGGCUUCACUAUCCAAUGGACUAAAAAAUUGAGUAAGGGAUAGAACAUAUUUUACACUCCAACUUGAAAACUUGUCGUAAUGAUGCUCUUCCAGCAUGAAGAAAUUAAAAUUGGCCUUCCUCUUCGUUCUCCUGAAUUGUUCACUGUAACUGAGUGGAGAUAUUUUAGGAGGGUUCUUACUGUGGCUUCUGAAGACCUUUUUCAGAAUAAGGUCUUUUUUUCAAAAACACCACACAAAAUACAAUACAAAAAUACAAUACAAAAAUUUUCAAAAAUACAGUAUUAGUUUGAAGCUUGGUAAGUUUUGACUAUUGCCUAUACCUAUGUAACUGCUACCUAAAACAAGAUAUAGAAAUAUUCUAACUUCCCAGAGAGAUUCUUCAUGCCCCUUUCAUUCAGUGUCAUCCCAGACCCCACAAAGGCAAUUCCUUCUGAUGGUAUGUAUGUAUUCUUUAGUGUCUGAUAUUUUUUAGAUUUAUUUAUAUUGUCAUAUGUAUCAGUAGGCCAUUCAUUUUUGUUGUUGAUGAAUAUUUCAUUGUGUGAAUAUGCUGCAAUUUGUUGAUUCAAAUACCUCCUGAUAGUUGUUUUCCGUUUGGGGCUGUUAAGAAUAAGGCUUCCAUAAACUUUCUUGCCUAAGUCUUGCAUGCAUUGAUGUUUUUAUUUCUCUUGCGUACAUAGCUGGGAUUCAAAUUGUUGGCUUAUAGGUUGUAUCUAUGCUUAGUUUAUUUUUAAAAUUGCCAGAGUUUUUGAAGCCUGCCUCUACAAGCAGUGUGUGAGAAGUUUAGCUACUUCAUUACCUCCAAACCAUUUGGUAUUAUCAGUCUUUUUAUUUAUCUCAAUUGGAAAAUAUUAAAUGGCUUUAUAUUAUGGCUUAAAGUUGCAUUUACCUGGUAACUGAGUGCCUUAUCUUGAGCUUCUUGUCUAUUCAUGCAUUUUUUUGGUGAUUAUGUGUUUAAGUCUUUUGCCCAUUUAAAAUUGGAUUUUUUUUGUUAUGGCUUUAUAGGAAUACAUCAUGUAUUCUGCAUAUAAUUUAUUUAUCCAAUAUUAUAUAUUGAAAAACUUUUCUUCUUGUCUGUAAUUUGCCAGUUUAUUUUGUUAAUGGUGCUUUUUAAUGAGUGUAUCUUUUUAAUUUUGAUGAAGUCUUAUCCUAUUUGUCUUUUAUGAUUAGUGAUUUUUAUUUGUCUAUUUUUGUCUGACCCAAGAUUAAAAAGGUACUUCCUAUAUUUUCUUCUAGAAGUUUCAUGGUUCCAGCUUUCCCAUUUCAGACUCUGUAACAUCUCAAGUUAACUUUUGUGCCUGGAAUGAGUUACAGGUCAAUAAUUACAUUGUUUAUUUGAGAAUCUAACACCAUUGUUUGAAAAUAAUAUCCUUACCUCAUUCAUUUGACUUGGCACCUGAAUAAGUCAUCUUUAAUACUGAGAAAUGGUAUUGCUGGUCUUUCAUGCAUUUUCUGAGACAUGUAGAUGACUUCAUGGAUACUUAAAAUAUUAUGGGUCUAUCACUGUGCCUUUGCACAUAAACUUUUUUCUGCCCAAGAUGCCAUUCUUCUUAUUAUUUUGUGUUUACUACCCAAAACACAGCUUAGUAGUCUCAGACACCUUCGUUAAUUUUUCCCAUAUGGUGCAACUAAAUGCCUCUGUUGGGCACAGUGAAUUGCUCUAUCAAAAUAUUUGUCUUAUGACUUGCUAAUUUUCUCUUUACUUGACUUUCUCCCCAAGCAGACAGUGAUUUACUUGAAAACAGGUCUGCUUUUUUAUCUCUGUAUCUUUAUUACUCAGCACUGUGACAGGAAAAAAAAGAUAGCCACUCAAUUUAUGAUUUUAAUCAAAUUUGAUGGUCCUGAUAUUCCACAGGAGCAAUGUAAGAUAGUAAAAGAAAUCCAUAUACUUUGGAAGGAUAUAAUUUUGAUUUCAAAUAUUGGUUCUGCUACUCACUAGCUGUUUGAAUUGAGGCAAGUUAUUUAAUUUCAAAAUCUUAGUGUAUUAAUCUAUAAUAUGAAGCUGUGUAGAACUUCAUUUGGAAUAUUUACAAUAAAUAAAAGAAAUAGUGUCCAGUACAUACAGUGUAUAGUAGCUGCUAAAUAAAUGGAGUGAGUGUAUUAUUAUUUUAGCAUUAAAAGGGCAAAUGAAAGGCUUGUGUUGAGCUCACUAAUUACCUGCUAUGGUAUCCAGGGACUCUUAAUGACUAAGUAUAAAAUGCCAUGUUAUCUUCUUUUCAUAAACACACAGAGUAACAAUUUGGGUGCAGUAUUCAAGGUAUUGCUUCACAUAGAAUCUGUUCUUUAUCUGUCAAAUCACAACAAAAGCACUGAACCCUAGCAGACAUCAAUUCUUGGAAUCAUAAUAUUACAUCACUGUGGAAAUUAGCCAAGUAAGAAUGUACUCCAAAUUUCAAAGUUGUAACUCUAUAGAUGUCUUGGAGACAUGAUAUAUGAAAGAAUAAAACAUGUCAUAGGAACCCCGGAGAUAUGGUUACAGCUCUAAUUCACAUUAACUUCCAAAGAAGGCACUUUAGCUAUUAGGCAGUUCCACUAAAAGUCAUAUUCCUAGGACUACUCCAGAGAAUUUAUCCUGCUUACCACGCUUUCCUUGGGUUAUACAUUUUGGUCCCAUCCAUCCCACUUAUAGGCACUUGAGAAGCUUAGAGAAUUACAGUAUUUUCUCUUGGAAAUGCUUUUAAGUAGCAUUUUAAAUACAUGAUUUUCCAACAUCCCUCCCACUUAUGGCACCCAUAUAGUACCCAGUGUACAUAUCAUUUCCCUGCUGAUUGGCUUUCAUGUGUUCCAAAUGCUUUUCUAAAUUGACCUGAUACCUAUUAAACCUGAAGUGGACUUUUAAGAUCUGAAGAACAUUUAAUCAAUGGGACAUUAAAGUAAAUAAAUCAUAGCUGAGAGGAGUUCCUUCAAAUGAUAUAAUCUUUAAUGAGCAUUGCACUUGAUUUAAUAAUUUAUUAAAUAUAUAAAAAAUGAUUGGUAAAUUGAACACUUGUCUCAGAGCAAGC
rnacentral:lncRNA from 1 species